GCCCAAGAGAUCGGGAUAACACCUGAAAACAGAUGCUAAUACCGGAUAACAACAGAUGAUGCCUAUCAACUGUUUAAAAGAUGGUUCUGCUAUCACUCUUGGAUGGACCUGCGGUGCAUUAGCUAGUUGGUAGGGUAACGGCCUACCAAGGCGAUGAUGCAUAGCCGAGUUGAGAGACUGAUCGGCCACAUUGGGACUGAGACACGGCCCAAACUCCUACGGGAGGCAGCAGCC
rnacentral:rRNA from 1 species